rnacentral:rRNA from 1 species
UAAGCCGUUGAAGGUGAAUCGUAAGGUUUGCUGGAGGUAUCAGAAGUGCGAAUGCUGACAUGAGUAACGACAAAGGGGGUGAAAAACCUCCUCGCCGGAAGACCAAGGGUUCCUGUCCAACGUUAAUCGGGGCAGGGUGAGUCGACCCCUAAGGUGAGGCCGAAAGGCGUAAUCGAUGGGAAACGGGUUAAUAUUCCCGUACUUCUGACUAUUGCGAUGGGGGGACGGAGAAGGCUAGGUGGGCCAGGCGACGGUUGUCCUGGUUCAAGUGCGUAGGCUUGAGAGUUAGGUAAAUCCGGCUCUCUCUAAGGCUGAGACACGACGUCGAGCUACUACGGUAGUGAAGUCAUUGAUGCCAUGCUUCCAGGAAAAGCCUCUAAGCUUCAGAUAGUCAGGAAUCGUACCCCAAACCGACACAGGUGGUCGGGUAGAGAAUACCAAGGCGCUUGAGAGAACUCGGGUGAAGGAACUAGGCAAAAUGGUACCGUAACUUCGGGAGAAGGUACGCUCUUGAUGGUGAAGUCCCUCGCGGAUGGAGCUGACGAGAGUCGCAGAUACCAGGUGGCUGCAACUGUUUAUUAAAAACACAGCACUGUGCAAAAUCGCAAGAUGACGUAUACGGUGUGACGCCUGCCCGGUGCCGGAAGGUUAAUUGAUGGGGUUAGCGCAAGCGAAGCUCUUGAUCGAAGCCCCGGUAAACGGCGGCCGUAACUAUAACGGUCCUAAGGUAGCGAAAUUCCUUGUCGGGUAAGUUCCGACCUGCACGAAUGGCGUAAUGAUGGCCACGCUGUCUCCACCCGAGACUCAGUGAAAUUGAAAUCGCUGUGAAGAUGCAGUGUACCCGCGGCUAGACGGAAAGACCCCGUGAACCUUUACUACAGCUUGGCACUGAACAUUGAACCUACAUGUGUAGGAUAGGUGGGAGGCUAUGAAGACGUGACGCCAGUUGCGUUGGAGCCGUCCUUGAAAUACCACCCUUGUAUGUUUGAUGUUCUAACUUAGACCCAUUAUCUGGGUUGAGGACAGUGCCUGGUGGGUAGUUUGACUGGGGCGGUCUCCUCCCAAAGAGUAACGGAGGAGCACGAAGGUGGGCUAAUCACGGUUGGACAUCGUGAGGUUAGUGCAAUGGCAUAAGCCCGCUUAACUGCGAGAAUGACGGUUCGAGCAGGUGCGAAAGCAGGUCAUAGUGAUCCGGUGGUUCUGUAUGGAAGGGCCAUCGCUCAACGGAUAAAAGGUACUCCGGGGAUAACAGGCUGAUACCGCCCAAGAGUUCAUAUCGACGGCGGUGUUUGGCACCUCGAUGUCGGCUCAUCACAUCCUGGGGCUGAAGUCGGUCCCAAGGGUAUGGCUGUUCGCCAUUUAAAGUGGUACGCGAGCUGGGUUUAGAACGUCGUGAGACAGUUCGGUCCCUAUCUGCCGUGGGCGUUGGAAGAUUGAAGGGGGCUGCUCCUAGUACGAGAGGACCGGAGUGGACGAACCUCUGGUGUUCGGGUUGUGUCGCCAGACGCAUUGCCCGGUAGCUAAGUUCGGAAUUGAUAAGCGCUGAAAGCAUCUAAGCGCGAAGCGAGCCCUGAGAUGAGUCUUCCCUGACAGUUUAACUGUCCUAAAGGGUUGUUCGAGACUAGAACGUUGAUAGGCAGGGUGUGUAAGCGUUGUGAGGCGUUGAGCUAACCUGUACUAAUUGCCCGUGAGGCUUAACCAUACAACACCCAAGGGGUUU